rnacentral:rRNA from 1 species
GAUGAACGCUGGCGGCGUGCCUAAUACAUGCAAGUCGAGCGAACGGACGAGAAGCUUGCUUCUCUGAUGUUAGCGGCGGACGGGUGAGUAACACGUGGAUAACCUACCUAUAAGACUGGGAUAACUUCGGGAAACCGGAGCUAAUACCGGAUGAUAUCUUGAACCGCAUGGUUCAAAAGUGAAAGACGGUCUUUCUGUCACUUAUAGAUGGAUCCGUGCUGCAUUAGCUAGUUGGUAAGGUAACGGCUUACCAAGGCAACGAUGCAUAGCCGACCUGAGAGAGUGAUCGGCCGCACGAGAACUGGAACACGGUCCAGACUCCUGCGGGAGGCAGCAGAAGGGAAUCUUCCGCAGUGGGCGAGAGCCUGACGGAGCAACGCCGCGUGAGUGAUGGAGGUCUUCGGAUCGUAAAACUCUGUUAUUAGGGAAGAACAUAUGUGUAAGUAACUGUGCACAUCGUGACGGUACCUGAUCAGAAAGCCACGGCUAACUACGUG